rnacentral:lncRNA from 1 species
AGGAAUGCAGGAAGAGUCUUAGGAUCAGCAGCCCACAGGCUGGACUCACUCCAGCUUCUGCAGAGUCGGGACGAAGCCUCAGGAGGGAUGGCUCCACAGCAAGAAUCACCCUUUGGUUAACCCAUGACAACCCUCGGCACAGCCAGGGGCUUGGCUACUGGUUCUGGUGCCCCCGUGGCGCAGCUCAGGACCUUAGAGUCUGAUCAUCAGCUCGGAUCAGAGGGCGGCUUGGGCCGCCAGCACCUACCUGAGGCUGUGGCCGCCGUGGCCUCUGCUUUGUCUGGAACCAGCCUGAUGCCAUCAGACACGUCCACCUGGUGAUCAGCCUCCUCCCUUGAGGCCCCAUCAUGCUGUGGUGACAGAGGAUUGCUUCUAA